rnacentral:rRNA from 1 species
UACGUAGGGGGCAAGCGUUGUCCGGAAUCAUUGGGCGUAAAGCGCGUGUAGGCGGCCCGGUAAGUCCGCUGUGAAAGUCGGGGGCUCAACCCUCGGAUGCCGGUGGAUACUGUCGGGCUAGAGUGCGGGAGAGGCGAGUGGAAUUCCUGGUGUAGCGGUGAAAUGCGCAGAUAUCAGGAGGAACACCAAUAGCGAAGGCAGCUCGCUGGGACGGUACUGACGCUAAGGCGCGAAAGCGUGGGGAGCGAACAGG